GACGAAGGGGGCUAGCGUUGUUCGGAAUUACUGGGCGUAAAGCGCGCGUAGGCGGCUCUUCAAGUCAGGCGUGAAAGCCCCGGGCUUAACCCGGGAAUAGCGCUUGAUACUGUUGGGCUUGAGUCCGGGAGAGGAUAGUGGAAUUCCCAGUGUAGAGGUGAAAUUCGUAGAUAUUCGGAAGAACACCAGUGGCGAAGGCGACUCACUGGACACGUAUUGACGCUGAGGUGCGAAAGCGUGGGGAGCAAACAGG
rnacentral:rRNA from 1 species